rnacentral:rRNA from 1 species
UUGUCUCAAAGAUUAAGCCAUGCAUGUCUCAGUACAAGCCAAAUUAAGGUGAAACCGCGAAAGGCUCAUUAAAUCAGUUAUGGUUCCUUAGAUCGUACCCACAUUUACUUGGAUAACUGUGGUAAUUCUAGAGCUAAUACAUGCUAACAGAGCUCCGACCGGAAACGGAAGGAGCGCUUUUAUUAGAUCAAAACCAAUCGGUGGCGGUCCUCCGUCAUCGUACAACUUGGUGAAUCUGAAUAACUUUAUGCUGAUCGCACGGUCUCGCACCGGCGACGCAUCUUUCAAAUGUCUGCCUUAUCAACUGUCGAUGGUAGGUUCUGCGCCUACCAUGGUUGUAACGGGUAACGGGGAAUCAGGGUUCGAUUCCGGAGAGGGAGCCUGAGAAACGGCUACCACAUCCAAGGAAGGCAGCAGGCGCGCAAAUUACCCACUCCCGGCACGGGGAGGUAGUGACGAAAAAUAACGAUACGGGACUCAUCCGAGGCCCCGUAAUCGGAAUGAGUACACUCUAAACCCUUUAACGAGGAUCAAUUGGAGGG